GAAUUCGAUUAACGCGAAGAACCUUACCUGGGCUCGAAAUGCAGAUGACAACCGAUGAAAGUCGGCUCCCGCAAGGGCGUCUGUAUAGGUGCUGCAUGGCUGUCGUCAGCUCGUGCCGUGAGGUGUUGGGUUAAGUCCCGCAACGAGCGCAACCCUCGUCCUUAGUUGCCACCAUUCAGUUGGGCACUCUAGGGAGACUGCCGGCGUUAAGCCGGAGGAAGGUGGGGACGACGUCAAGUCAUCAUGGCCCUUAUGUCCAGGGCCACACACGUGCUACAAUGGGCGGUACAAAGGGUUGCAAACCCGCGAGGGGGAGCUAAUCCCAAAAAGCCGCUCUCAGUUCGGAUUGGAGUCUGCAACUCGACUCCAUGAAGUUGGAAUCGCUAGUAAUCGCGGAUCAGCACGCCGCGGUGAAUACGUUCCCGGGCCUUGUCACACCGAAUCACUA
rnacentral:rRNA from 1 species